rnacentral:rRNA from 1 species
GACGAACGCUGGCGGCGUGCCUCAUACAUGCAAGUGGAGCGACGAACCAGGGCUUUGCCCUGGGGCAAAGCCGCGAACGGGUGAGUAACACGUGGGUAACCUGCCCCGAAGACCGGGACAACCCGAGGAAACUCGAGCUAAUACCGGAUGUGCUCUCCGCGCUCAAGCGCGACGAGUAAAGGAAGCUUCGGCCUCCGCUUUGGGAGGGGCCCGCGGCCCAUUAGCUUGUUGGUGAGGUAACGGCUCACCAAGGCUGCGAUGGGUAGCUGGUCUAAGAGGACGGUCAGCCACACUGGGACUGAGACACGGCCCAGACUCCUACGGGAGGCAGCAGUAGGGAAUCUUGCGCAAUGCGCGAAAGCGUGACGCAGCAACGCCGC